rnacentral:rRNA from 1 species
GACGAACGCUGGCGGCGUGCCUAAUACAUGCAAGUCGGGCGAACGGACGAGAAGCUUGCUUCUCUGAUGUUAGCGGCGGACGGGUGAGUAACACGUGGAUACCCUCCUUAUCAGACUGGUAUAACUUCGGGAAACCGGCGCUAAUACCGGAUAAUAUUCUGGACCGCAUGGUUGAUAAGAGAAAGACGGUCUUGCUGUCUCUUCUAGAUGGAUCUGCGCUGCAUUAGCUAGUUGGUAAGGUAACGGCUUACCAAGGCAACGAUGCAUAGCCGACCUGAGAGGGUGAUCGGCCACACUGGAACUGAGACACGGUCCAGACUCCUACGGGAGGCAGCAGUAGGGAAUCUUCCGCAAUGGGCGAAAGCCUGACGGAGCAACGCCGCGUGAGUGAUGAAGGUCUUCGGAUCGUAAAACUCUGUUAUUAGGGAAGAACAUAUGUGUAAGUAACUGUGCACAUCUUGACGGUACCUAAUCAGAAAGCCACGGCUAACUACGUG